ensembl:snRNA U4 U4 spliceosomal RNA
AUCUUUGCCCAGUGGCAGUGUCGUAGCCUAUGAGGUUAAUCUGAGGCGCGAUUAUUGCUAGUUGAAAACCAGGGGCAGUGGUGGCCUAGUGGAUAAGGAAGCGGCUCCGUAACCAGA